ACCAACUGCAGUUUGUACCAAAGUGAAAAGUAAUUGCUGUGAACCUGUAUGAUCAUAAAUAUUUUAGACACAGUCUUAACACAAAUUGGGCUCUGCAAAUUUCUUCAACUUUUGGUGAAACUGCAAUUAACUCUUCCUACUGACUGGCAGGUACAAGGUCAGGUUGGUUUUGCCGUGACACAACCACAAUUCUUGGCAUGGCUGGGUCUGUGACAGGCACAAGCCCUGAACUAUUUGAGGUUGUUGAAGUAUUACCUGCAGCAGCAGUCGAAGCAGAGGCAGCUGCCACACGGGUAACACCUUGAGUACCUGCACCAGGCAGCCCAACAACACUGACUGUCUUUUGACCCAUUUGAAGUUUUAAUGGCUGGCCUGCAAUCUGCAAGAAAUGAGUGACAUCAGCAAGAAGUUCAAAUGUGCAUUGAAGACAAACUGACUUAACUCAUGGUUUCAAUGGGUCACUCACCUGUCCCUGGCCUGGCAUUGAAAGAAUCUGCCCUUGGCUAAGAAUAGUUUGUGUGCCGCCCAUUCCGGGUUUGCCUUGGAUUGUUACUGUUUUAGGGGGACCACCUUGCUGGCCUGGUACUGUGAUUGUGAUGGGUUUGCCACCUGCAGCUUGAGCCUGUGCAGCUUGGCCUGCUGACAUGACUAUCAUUUUGACCCCUUGUUGUCCAGUUACAGUUUGUGCCCCUGAAACAGCUGUCAUGAACUAAUUACAAAACUACAUUCAACACUGGAGAAACACUAUAACCAAUGCUCAUUCAACAAACCUUGUCCAGCUUGACUAUUUGUAAGGGUUUGGACGGUUCUGAGUGCUGAGCCUGAUGUAACCAUUAUAAUUUGGCCAGUACUGGAUCGACCUAAUACAGCUGGCUGGCCACCUCCAGGUUUAGUAAUUACAAUAGUCUGUUUACCAGCAACACCACCAGCUUUACUAACUGUAAAACCAUUAAAAUGAAUAAAAGAUAGAUAAAUAAUUGUACCAA